GAAACUAGCCCAUAGUCCUCGAUGUGGUGCUGGAACUGGUCAUUGCAUGUAGUCCACGUCUUAUUCUUAGUGUCCGCAAGGAGAGGUCUGCGGUCACUGUGAAAUUUGUUAGUGCAAGAAACCCCGACUGUGGUAUUCUUGCUUUGCCGGGCAUUAUCCAGGAACUUUGUUUUUAAGUUCCGGAAAUGCUCCAGCAGGUGUGCUGUAUUCAGGUCUCUUCGCAGGGUGGUAUUUCUGACAAAGUACGGGGCCUUGGCUGCUAUCCUCAAUAUCUUGUUUUUAAUUACCGCCAUCUUCUUCUUUUGCGUGAUGCAGGCCGUGGACCAUGCAGUUGAUCCAUAGGUCCGCACCGGACGGAUUAGCUGUUUGUAAGCUCUAACCUUUGUUCUCAGAUCGAGCUUACCUGUCAGCAGAGGAUAGUAGGCCUGGAGCAAGUAUCUUGCCUUCGCUGCUGUGGCUGUCAUCUGGUCGUGCCAUACCAGUCGCUUGUCGUAGAUAGCCUAAGAUAGGUUACCUUGGACCUCCAGGGCAGCCGCUGUCCUGCAAGCUCUAGUAUGGCUGGCGACGUCUUGGAGCCCCUGGUGAAGAAAAUGGCUUGCGUUUUCUACGAGUUAAACUUUAUUUUCCAGUUCCUGCUCCAUUGCCGGACCUGGCCCAGAUGUCUUUGGAGUCUAGUCAUGUUAGGGCCUUUCCCUGCGGCGGUGAGUGCUACAUUGUCUGCAUUUAUAUAGCACUCUGUAUUGGCGUUGGUUGGAAAGUCUGCCAUGUAUAUGUUGAAGAGAGUAGGGCCCAGCACUGAUCUUUGCGGUACUCCUGACAGAGACACUGGACGAUUGGCUUCAGGAAUUGAGGCAGAUAGUGGACGACCAAGAAGUGUUCAAGUCCCAGAGAUAGAGAAACCGAUUAUUUGAAAUAAUGUCAUGGGUGCUUUCCAGGAUAACUGGGAUUAUUGCGCAUGAAAUGACAAUUUCCCAAGCAACUUUUCACGGAUAGUUACAGAGGAAUAGCUUCAUCCUUAAUACUUCAAAAACUGAACUGUUUAACUAUUUUUCCUGUACUUCUUAAGGACCAUCAGCGGAAUGACGCCAAUUUCACCCUGUAUUUGCGGUAUACAAUAUCACAUUAGUAUGUGUAUUUUAGGCAUUUUAAUAAAACAAUCUAUAUAUUAAUAUGUAAUUAUCUAAUCAGAUGGAAUACACUUUAAAAGACAGCGAUGAAUCUUUAAACGAUUGGGUAGGAAUCAUCCUCAGCAAUACCACACUCGUUUUGUCCAC